AAUAUUGCGCAAUGGACGGAAGCCUGACGCAGCGACGCCGCGUGAGCGAUGAAGGCCUNCGGGUCNUNAAGCUCUGUCCUUGGGGNAGAAGGCGAAAGCUUGACGGUACCCAAGAAGAAAGCCCCGGCUAACUACGUGCCAGCAGCCGCGGUAAUACGUAGGGGGCGAGCGUUGUCCGGAAUUACUGGGCGUAAAGGGUGCGUAGGCGGCCCUUUAAGUCAGAUGUGAAAGCCCGCGGCUUAACCGCGGAACUGCAUUUGAAACUGGAGGGCUUGAGUGUCGGAGAGGGUAGUGGAAUUCCCAGUGUAGCGGUGAAAUGCGUAGAUAUUGGGAGGAACACCAGUGGCGAAGGCGACUACCUGGACGAUAACUGACGCUGAGGCACGAAAGCUAGGGGAGCAAACAGG
rnacentral:rRNA from 1 species